rnacentral:rRNA from 1 species
CUUGCUUCUUUGAGACCGGCGCACGGGUGCGUAACGCGUAUGCAAUCUACCUUUCACAGAGGGAUAGCCCAGAGAAAUUUGGAUUAAUACCUCAUAGUAUAUCGAGUUGGCAUCUACAUGAUAUUAAAGAUUUAUCGGUGAAAGAUGAGCAUGCGUCCCAUUAGCUAGUUGGUAUGGUAACGGCAUACCAAGGCUACGAUGGGUAGGGGUCCUGAGAGGGAGAUCCCCCACACUGGUACUGAGACACGGACCAGACUCC